rnacentral:rRNA from 1 species
AUUGAACGCUGGCGGCAGGCUUAACACAUGCAAGUCGAGCGGGGGAAGGUAGCUUGCUACCGGACCUAGCGGCGGACGGGUGAGUAAUGCUUAGGAAUCUGCCUAUUAGUGGGGGACAACAUCUCGAAAGGGAUGCUAAUACCGCAUACGUCCUACGGGAGAAAGCAGGGGAUCUUCGGACCUUGCGCUAAUAGAUGAGCCUAAGUCGGAUUAGCUAGUUGGUGGGGUAAAGGCCUACCAAGGCGACGAUCUGUAGCGGGUCGGAGAGGAUGAUCCGCCACACUGGGACUGAGACACGGCACAGACUCCUACGGGAGGCAGCAGUGGGGAAUAUUGGACAAUGGGGGUAACCCUGAUCCAGCCAUGCCGCGUGUGUGAAGAAGGCCUUAUGGUUGUAAAGCACUUUAAGCGAGGAGGAGGCUACUCUAGUUAAUACCUAGGGAUAGUGGACGUUACUCGCAGAAUAAGCACCGGCUAACUCUGUGCCAGCAGCCGCCGCGG